rnacentral:rRNA from 1 species
GACGAACGCUGGCGGCGUGCCUAAUACAUGCAAGUAGAACGCUGAAGAGAGGAGCUUACUCUUCUUGGAUGAGUUGCGAACGGGUGAGUAACGCGUAGGUAACCUGCCUUGUAGCGGGGGAUAACUAUUGGAAACGAUAGCUAAUACCGCAUAACAAUGGAUGACACAUGUCAUUUAUUUGAAAGGGGCAAUUGCUCCACUACAAGAUGGACCUGCGUUGUAUUAGCUAGUAGGUGAGGUAAUGGCUCACCUAGGCGACGAUACAUAGCCGACCUGAGAGGGUGAUCGCCCACACGGGGACUGAGCCCGGCCCCAGACCCCUGCGGGAGGCGGAAGUGGGGAAUUUUGGGAAAGGGGGGCAACCCUGACCGCGCAACGCCGCGUGAGUGAGGAAGGUUUUCGGAUCGUAAGGCUCUUUUGUAAGUAAAGAACGGGUGGGAGGGUGAAAAGUCCACCCUGUGACGGUAGCUUACAAGAAAGGGACGGCAAACUCCGGG